rnacentral:rRNA from 1 species
UAGGGAAUCUUCCGCAAUGGACGCAAGUCUGACGGAGCAACGCCGCGUGAGUGAAGAAGGAUUUCGGUUCGUAAAACUCUGUUGUUAGAGAAGAACAGCGCAUAGAGUAACUGUUAUGCGUGUGACGGUAUCUAACCAGAAAGCCACGGCUAACUACGUGCCAGCAGCCGUGGUAAUACGUAGGUGGCAAGCGUUGUCCGGAUUUAUUGGGCGUAAAGCGAGCGCAGGCGGUCAAUUAAGUCUGAUGUGAAAGCCCCCGGCUCAACCGGGGAGGGUCAUUGGAAACUGGUUGACUUGAGUGCAGAAGAGGAGAGUGGAAUUCCAUGUGUAGCGGUGAAAUGCGUAGAUAUAUGGAGGAACACCAGUGGCGAAGGCGACUCUCUGGUCUGUAACUGACGCUGAGGCUCGAAAGCGUGGGUAGCAAACAGG